CCAAAGCCAACCGACGUGGAAGCAGUUCUCUCUUUCAGGAGAAAAAGUUUGGAACAAAUAGUCUGUCAGACAGUAUCAACUAGGUUGAACAUAUUUGAAUGCCGCAAAGAAGAGACAACAUCCACGCAUUGAAGUAGCCUACACAGUGCAUGAAUGCACUAAAGUCUGAGUGUGUUCGUGGGGGCGGAGCCAAGGGUUAAGGGAGGAGCCAUGUGUUAGGGGAGGAGAGGACGUCAUAUUGAAGAAACGAAACUUAACGUUCAAAACCAAAGCAGAGCCCGUCUACGAAUAUUAGACAUUCUCUGACCAAAGCAACCGACGUCGAAGCUGUAAAAUAAAUCUCAUUUUGGAACAAAAAGUCUGACAGUAAGAAAAAGGAAUGGCCUGUGCUAACACUUCCUGGUCUCAAGAGAACUUUUCAUGUUG